rnacentral:snoRNA from 1 species
UCUAUCUAUGGAAUCGCAUCAUUCAUGUCAUAGAUGAUCAAUAUAUGUCUGGAACUCUGAGGUCCAA